rnacentral:sRNA from 1 species
UGACGACUCCAUGCGUAUGUCCCACCUAAAGGUCGGCUCUGCUGCCGACAUCCCCAUCAACAUCUCAGAGACGGAUCUCAGCCUGCUGACGGCCACUGUGGUCCCGCCCUCGGGCCGGGAGGAGCCCUGUUUGCUGAAGCGGCUGCGUAAUGGCCACGUGGGGAUUUCAUUCGUGCCCAAGGAGACAGGGGAGCACCUGGUGCAUGUGAAGAAAAACGGCCAGCACGUGGCCAGCAGCCCCAUCCCGGUGGUGAUCAGCCAGUCGGAAAUUGGGGAUGCCAGUCGUGUUCGGGUCUCUGGUCAGGGCCUUCACGAAGGCCACACCUUUGAGCCUGCAGAGUUUAUCAUUGAUACCCGCGAUGCAGGUAGGCAGUGGCUGCCCACCAGCUGGGGCGGGAGCACUGUGCAUAGCACCGAAGCUCAGGGGUAUCUAUCCCCUAGGCUAUGGUGGGCUCAGCCUGUCCAUUGAGGGCCCCAGCAAGGUGGACAUCAACACAGAGGACCUGGAGGACGGGACGUGCAGGGUCACCUACUGCCCCACAGAGCCAGGCAACUACAUCAUCAACAUCAAGUUUGCCGACCAGCACGUGCCUGGUGAGUGCAGCAGUGCCUCGGCAGCCCCCCUCACUACACCAGGGCCCACAGGCAGUAUGUGACUGGAGGGGCGUGGGCCGUGCUUUCUUCCUGCAGGCAGCCCCUUCUCUGUGAAGGUGACAGGCGAGGGCCGGGUGAAAGAGAGCAUCACCCGCAGGCGUCGGGCUCCUUCAGUGGCCAACGUUGGUAGUCAUUGUGACCUCAGCCUGAAAAUCCCUGGUAGGGGCUGUGGGG